AGCCGGUGAUGAUCACUCACCUUCUGACACCUCGUCUGAGGGCGGCGGGCGGCCGCGGCCCCUGCUGACGCUCCGCGGCUGAGGCUC